rnacentral:snoRNA from 1 species
UUGGAGGUCUGUCCUGAUAAGGCUUCCAUAGCUACCUAUCACAGAAAAUGGCUCACACAGUAACUCUGCAGUUUUGUUUUGCUUAUGGGUCUAUUUCUUAGGCCUAAGAAAUGGCAUAAAACACCA